GACGAACGCUGGCGGCGUGCUUAACACAUGCAAGUCGAACGGAAAGGCCCUGCUUUUGUGUGGCUCUCGAGUGGCGAACGGGUGAGUAACACGUGAGUAACCUUCCCUGUACUGUGGGAUAACUUCAGGAAACUGGGGCUAAUACCUGAGAGGAGCUCCUGCUGCAUGGUGGUGUUUGGAAAUCUUCGGCGGUUGUGGAUGUACUCGCGGUUUAUUAGCUUGUUGGUGGGGUAGUGACUUACCAAGGCUUUGACGGGUAGCCGGCCUGAGAGGGUGACCGGGUACAUUGGGAUAGAGAUACGGGCCAGAGUGAUACGGGAGGCAGCAGUGGGGAAUAGUGCCAGAUGGGCGGAAGGCUGGUGCAGCAACGCCGCGUGGGGGAUGACGGCAUUGGGUUGUAAACCGCUUUAGCCUGUGACGAAGCGUGAGUGACGGUAAUGGGUAAAGAAGCACCGGCUAACUACGUG
rnacentral:rRNA from 1 species